UGGGAUGAAAAUUUUGGGAAAAUUUUGAAGUACUCUAAGGAGGAUAGCUAUGAUGGUACUUACAAGCCAUGUAAGUAGCACUUAUGGGUUGUAUGUGACUUUGUAGGUGUCAUAUCUGAAGCCCUAAAAUUUUUUAUCAUUUUCUGACAUUUACGAGGGUACUUAUGACCCACGUAAGUCUCACUUAUAACCCGUAAGUGCCCUGUGCUGGGUGCUUUAUAUGACCCGUAAGUGCCCUGUACUGGGUGCUUUAUUUUUUCCAACUUUUUUGUUCUGUUCUUCAAUUUCAAGCACUAACAACUACUUUUUUAGAUACCAUAUCCCCUAAAGUAGCAUCGAAGAAGGGAGUCUAGUGUAGAUAUGAGACCAGUCUCCAUUACGGAGUGGCUCCGUAAAGGAUUACCCCAUUAGCUGAUAUGGCACUCCAGUGGCCCCAUGAUAGAGCAGGGGCAGAUCUCAGUGAUAGGCCAAAGAAGAAACGGUCAUGGCAACUACAUUGGGUAUACAAGGUACCCAUCCUACCCCAGAACAAACCCAUCUGAGAACUCAGCCCACACCACCACAGGUCUGGGCCUAGAUGGCCAUACUUAGACCUGCUCCCAGGUCAAGGAUGAAGAAGGCUCGAACCUCAACACCAUGAUCUCCCUAGUCUAAGAAGGGUUAGGAUUUUUCUAGGGAUAGAUUUGAUGUUGAGGUAGAUUAGCAGUCAAAUUCCAAACAUUAGGUUGGGUCUGUAUUAGCAUCAUAAUAUACUAAAGAGGAGGAUGUACAGAGCUCCCAGUCUAAAAGGGGUUAUAGGAUGCAUCCUAGUCAUCUAGAAAGUCUACUUAAGGAUCGGUUAGACCCCAGUAUGAAGAGUUUGCAGACCAGGUCCGACAAAAGAUCUCUUCAUUGUCAUGCACGAUGCUUCAAUGGUUGCGCAGGACACUCAAGCCCCAAUACCACUACCUACUACCCCAGGGUCUGACUCUACACACGUCUUGAUUGUGCCUAUAGGUGAGAUAAACCAAAGAUAGUGGGUAGGGAAAUGCAACUUAUAUUUUAUAGUAAUAACUUUAUUAUGAUCAUAAUUAUCCUAACAUGAGUAUUUCUACUGAGAGGAGGAUUGACUUCAGUAGGAUAGUAGUGGCACUAGACCUGCAGGCCUGUUUUGAUCGGUACCAAAUAGUGUGGAUGACUCAGCCCUAAUGUUCUUAUAAUUUGACUCUAGUUCAGGAGUUUUAUGCUUUCUAUGCCUCUACGCUAUACUUGAGUACUAUAUAGAAGUGUGGAGCAAAUAAGUAGCCACAGUUAGAGAAUACUUUAGUGAGAGGUGUUAAAGUUGAUAUUUCUAUAUCGGUCAUCUGUUGAGUAUUAUUUAGGCCAAAGUACAUGGCACCGGCAUCUAAGAAAGAGUUUGACUUUAGUUUGAGAUUUAUGCAAGAUAGAUGCGCUAUGAGAGAUGCAGAUUUUAGAUGACAAAGAUUGUAUUUAGCAAGUGGAUAGCCACCUGAAUUUCUGACUUAGACGAGGAUGCCUCUUGGAUAGAAGGAAAGAAGGAGAUAAAAAAGGCAACACUAUAUUUUGAAAUAAAAUUUUGGUAGACUGUGGUAUGAUUUAGACUGUGACCAACUACAUUGGACAAUAUUCUUACAUAGGAGAAGGUUGCACUGGUUGCCAACUUGCUUGUUGGCUUUGAGAUAGAUUUUGCUGCAUUGAUCAGGCAGAAGAUCUAUGUCAGAGAAUUUGGUGAGACCACUACACUCUUAUUUCCUUGCCUUAUCCAGUAGAUAUGUGAUGCAUAUGGUGUGUUGUCCAUUCUAGAUGUUGAUCAUAGGAUUGCAUUGUUGAGCAAAAUAGGUAUUUGUUUGAUCAAGGAUCUGUCAAACCCAAUCCUUGUACAAAGAGCUCAGCUACCUUCUAUAGUGAUUAUAGUCUAUUUUAAGGGACCUUCAGUACCAGUCGAGCCUAUUUUAGGCCAGACAUUUUUUAUGAUAAUAAUAUAAAAGAUCAGAGAGCUCAGCUCGAUAAGAGAAAGGGGGCUCGACUACUGCUACUUCAGCCCCAACUUCUUUAUCUGAGCUGACUUGGGCAUCUACUGUGCCCCUUUACCCCACUUCUACUAGUAUUAUAAAGGUACUGUAAGAGUUUUUACAGUGUUUGGUAAGGCACAGCAUGAGAUAAUAGCCCGCCUUAUUGAUACAGAUACUCAGUUUACUACGGUAUAUGCACAGAUUUGACCUUGGGUUUGGAAUAAUUUAGAGAAUAUUGAGGAUUCUAAGUGAGGGAUGAGAUGAUAUACUUUAUGAGUGAGUUUCAUAACUGUAUUGAUGCCUUUGACGUUUGAUUAAGUGCACAAUUUAGCAAGGUAUAGGCUCUAGAUAUAUUUGAGAUUUGGGAAGAGAUGUCCACCUUAUGCACUGAGGUACGCUUUCUUAUAGAGAUCUAGGUUCCAAUUAUUCAUACGAUCAUCCCUUGAUUCGCGAAUUCAUUAAAUCCAGUCGACAUAUAUGGUUUGAUAUUUUUGUUAGGAAGUAAAUGAUCUCAAUUGUUGGGACCAAGAAAUGUAGAGCGGCUGAAUUAUAGGACCCACCAUACCAUUUGAUCAAUCCCUAAAAUGGUAACCAUCGAUUAUAAGGUGUCCUGGAUAGUUGAUGCGUAGAUACUAUAUAAGAUAGCAGUGGGCGCAUCUUCUAGUCUUGUCGAUCAGUUGAGACAACGCUCGCCCUAAAUAGGGAACUCUAAGAUGGGUGCCUAGAGAAUCCCAGGUAUGUCCUCUGCCUUUGUUUUGGAUUAUAUUAAUGCACUAGGAACACUACAUAUCAUUUUUAUUAGGGUGGGGAUGUACUACAGGCGAGGGUUUUUCUUGGCAUGCUUCUUUUUCCGUCGGCUGUAGUAUCUUAGUAGAACCGGCAUGUUUAGUUUUUUUGUGUUUUGUGUCAUAUAUAUUUUAUGUUUUGUUUAUGUUUAACUAUAAAAAAAUAAGGAACCUAAUGGAAAUUAAGGUAUUUUGAUUGUGUUCAAGUGUUUUGAGAAAAUGAUACCCUUCCAAAAUGUUUAUUUUAAAUUGUGUGAUAUUUAUAUGUGUGAACACUGUAAAUGUUACUAUGGCAGUAGGACUUAGGGACAAAAUAAUCAUAGCUAGCAUUUGUAUGAUCUGGAUAGGUAGUAGCUGGCAAUAUAACCCUGUACUAUAUAUGUGUGAGAUUUCUUACCUACUUCUCUUUGUACAUUCAAUCCUAAACCUUCCUGGUUAGUCUUGCCUAGGUUUUAGGAUAGUUGGCUAGGAAAGAAUCAUUGGCCAUUUUUUAUUCGGUCCACUCUUAACCUAAAUGACCAUCCAAAUUUGAAAAAAUAUCCUUUGAUCCCUAUUUUUAGCCUGCAUAGACUUAUUAUAUUAUUUUCACCUGUCACUUUUCCAGUUUAACUACAAUGGAACUAUUUUGGCCCUGGUCCCUCCUUGGACAUUGUGCACCUCAACUCAAACAAAUCACCAAAGUUGAGGGUGGAUAUCAUAUGGGUGUGUAGUUAUAAAUUUGGUAUAAAGAUGUUCUUGAAUACAAGAAAAUAAAGUAGGGUUGGGUGUGGUAAAAAAAAUAAAAGAAAAAAGAAAAAGGAAAAAAAAGAACAAAAGAAACUAUACCCAACUUGAAUAGGCAACAAAAGAGAAGAGGGGAUAAAUAAGAGAGAAACAAAAGAAAAUUUGUGGUUGAGAAGUAGACCCCAAACGUAAUUUUAGUGUAAAAGAGGGUUAGUCACCAAUUCCCAAAUGUAUCAUACUAUCCCCCAAUCCUACGUUAAAAGCCGAAUAAAGUCCAAUAGUUAUCCUAGUCUGAGUGUUCAUAAAAGUAAGGUAAAGAAAAUAAGGGUAAGCUUAUGGUAUUGUAUGCACAUUGAUUGGAAUUUCUUUGUGAGUGUGAGUGUCUUGUUAUCGUCCCUACCUUAAAUUACAUGAUUAUACUAUGAGAGUGAGACUUUUUGUGUGAGGGUACAUGGGUUACAUUGUGUUGCUAGCUGCUUAUCUGUUCGGGUGGUGUAAUUUGCAUAUCUUCUUGAUUAUUUGUUACUAAUGUGAUGCCAUAUAUUGAUUCCUUUAUGUUACAUUGUUGGGCUAUAUAGAUAUGCACAAUUGAUUUUAAAAAGUUAAAAAUAGGAGGGAUGAUAUAUUUUAAGCUGAAACUGUGUUGAUUGUUGUAGGUACCUUAGCUUUCUCUUAGUUAAGCAUCGCCGUGUUAUUUUUAUUAUGUGUUUAUUGUCUGAAGACAUGAAAACAUUCUAAGUUUAGGUUGUUGAUGUUCCAUGGUUUCAUGGCAUUCUCGUUGCUUAAUAUUGGAAAAAAUGGAAGUACUUAGGCAUGUUUUGGUAGAGAUUAUGUGUUUUUGUGAUUCUUUUUUUUGCAGGAAACUAGGUGUUGGGAUUUAAGAAAAGAAAAGAUGAUGAAAAAAAUGCAGAAGGACCACUAACAAGACUACGUAUUGCCCUUAAGUGGUGCCUACGAUGGUCGUAGGUCCUUACAUAGGUGUCAGAAACAAAAUUCUGAAAAGCUGAAAUCUGUAGAUUUUCCUAAAAGUUACGAAGGGGCCACUUAUGACCACCGUAAGUGGCCACACAAGUGUCAGGUGCAGAAGAUUCUGGGAUUCUGAAGAUUGAAGUUUUUGCCUGAUACUUGUGAAGGGAUUGCUUAUGGGUUGUAAGUAACACUUAUGCCCCAUAAGUGCCUUUGUAGGUAGUUAUCCGGCAGCAUUAAGAAAGUUUGCCACGUACGACCUACUAAGGGGCGUGUAAACGGGCACUGACCUAGUUUUUCUUGUUUGUUUUGGUUAGUAAUUUUGGGGUUAUGAUGUACAUUAUAAAUACCUUUUUUAUGUUUUUGUAUUAGAUUUCACACUUUUUAUGUUCACAAACAUAUAUUAAUUCUAAGAUUCGACUUUUGAUCUUGGAAUUCGUUGUUCUUGAUUUUUAUGUUGAUUAUUAAUUUAAGACUGUGUUUUCUUCUUAAAUUGUUGUGAUAUUAAUUUUAUCCUCUCUUUUAUAAAUUUCAUGGAUAUUCUUGCUAACAUGAGAGGCUAAACUACCUAACUAGGGUUAUGGAAAACCUGGCGGAAUAACAAAGUAGAGGAAGUGUAAGGCCUUUCAAAACAUUGUUUAUGCAUGUAUUGUGAAAUUAUUUGUGGUUUAUGUCUUAUUAACUACAACAAAGGUUAAGAAAUUACAUGAAUUCGAAAUCAUCUUCACAAGAGUGGCUGAGAUUAGGAA
rnacentral:lncRNA from 1 species